rnacentral:rRNA from 1 species
AUGAACGCUGCGGCGUGCCUAAUACAUGCAAGUCGAGCGAACAGACGAGGAGCUUGCUCCUCUGACGUUAGCGGCGGACGGGUGAGUAACACGUGGAUAACCUACCUAUAAGACUGGGAUAACUUCGGGAAACCGGAGCUAAUACCGGAUAAUAUAUUGAACCGCAUGGUUCAAUAGUGAAAGACGGUUUUGCUGUCACUUAUAGAUGGAUCCGCGCCGCAUUAGCUAGUUGGUAAGGUAACGGCUUACCAAGGCAACGAUGCGUAGCCGACCUGAGAGGGUGAUCGGCCACACUGGAACUGAGACACGGUCCAGACUCCUACGGGAGGCAGCAGUAGGGAAUCUUCCGCAAUGGGCGAAAGCCUGACGGAGCAACGCCGCGUGAGUGAUGAAGGUCUUCGGAUCGUAAAACUCUGUUAUUAGGGAAGAACAAAUGUGUAAGUAACUAUGCACGUCUUGACGGUACCUAAUCAGAAAGCCACGGCUAACUACGUG